rnacentral:lncRNA from 1 species
UCGACUUAGCCGCAUCUCAACCAGUCAUAGCAGCAACAAACUAACAAAUGGCAUCUGAAAUUUGAACCUAAACCAACCUUUCUUCAAUCCAUUUUCAGCCCAAUUUUUCUGGUUUGUUCGGUCGUGUGUGCAUGUGUUCUCCGGUGCUGUUGAGCAUGGCUUUUGUUGCUGGUCAUUUAGACGUGAGGGAGGAGAACGGAGAUGGAGUUCAUUUGGGUGGAAAUGGUGAGUGAAGCAAAAGAAGAACGAUGUAGAAGGAGGUGGCUCGGUGUGACUGCUGGCAUGGGGGUUGUUUCUGGGCUUUGAGAGGAGGCGGGUGAAUAAGAGAGGUCGUGGGGUGUCUUUGCUGAAGAAGACGAUAACAGUGGAAGAUUGUUUGGGAC